rnacentral:rRNA from 1 species
UGUUGCCAGCGGUUAGGUCGGGAACUCAAAGGAGACUGCCAGUGAUAAACUGGAGGAAGGUGGGGAUGACGUCAAGUCAUCAUGGCCCUUACGACCAGGGCUACACACGUGCUACAAUGGCGCAUACAAAGAGAAGCGACCUCGCGAGAGCAAGCGGACCUCAUAAAGUGCGUCGUAGUCCGGAUUGGAGUCUGCAACUCGACUCCAUGAAGUCGGAAUCGCUAGUAAUCGUGGAUCAGAAUGCCACGGUGAAUACGUUCCCGGGCCUUGUACACACCGCCCGUCACACCAUGGGAGUGGGUUGCAAAAGAAGUAGGUAGCUUAACCUUCGGGAGGGCGCUUACCACUUUGUGAUUCAUGACUGGGGUGAAGUCGUAACAAGGUAACCGUAGGGGAACCUGCGGUUGGA